UACGUAGGGGGCAAGCGUUGUCCGGAUUUAUUGGGCGUAAAGAGCGCGUAGGCGGCCCGAUAAGUCCGCUGUGAAAGUCAAGGGCUCAACCCUUGAAUGCCGGUGGAUACUGUCGGGCUAGAGUCCGGAAGAGGCGAGUGGAAUUCCUGGUGUAGCGGUGAAAUGCGUAGAUAUACGGAGGAACACCUGCGGCGAAGGCGGGUAGCUGGGCCAACACUGACGCUGAUGCGCGAAAGCUAGGGGAGCAAACGGG
rnacentral:rRNA from 1 species